rnacentral:rRNA from 1 species
UACAGAGGUCUCAAGCGUUGUUCGGAUUCAUUGGGCGUAAAGGGUGCGUAGGUGGCGCGGUAAGUCGGGGUGUGAAAUCUCGGAGCUUAACUCCGAAAUUGCAUUCGAUACUGCCGUGCUCGAGGACUGGAGAGGAGACUGGAAUUCAUGGUGUAGCAGUGAAAUGCGUAGAGAUCAUGAGGAAGACCAGUGGCGAAGGCGGGUCUCUGGACAGUUCCUGACACUGAGGCACGAAGGCCAGGGGGAGCAAACGGGG